GACAAUUCUCAAAUAGCGCAUGGAUAAAUAGAUAAUCAUUAUAUAUUGUAAAGACAUAAUUAUAAAGAAUAUCUACAAAAUUAAGUAGAAUGACGCCAACAGCGUUUUGAACGUGAGUCGGACAUUUAAGGUUAAGGUUAGUAUCAAAGUAAAAGCAGUCGUAAGUACAUGGAAGAAUUUAAUCUUGCACAAAGAAAUGUAGUUUUUCAUUUUUUUCGUUUUAAGUAAAAAUUAUCUUAGCAAGGAGUAAUCUCCUCGAGGAAUAAUCUUAAAACACGUUCAUUUACUCGAAACAAGUUCAUUCUAUUAUCUCUAUCGAAACAGUCACUCUAUUCUGUGUGUAAUGGCGUAAAGCGUACAUAUGCCCAAUACAUCGUUUCGUGCAUGCAACUGAAAAAUAUUUCUACAUCCAGUUUAACUAAUAGCUACUUAAAACAACUUACAACUGUUUUAUCAAGCCGUGAAUAUUAUAUCUAAACUGUAUGAAAUACACGCGACGCUAAUUGUGAGUAUAUUUUCAUUCUAGCACUCGUCAGUUCCACGAACGUCGUCGAAUGACCCUGUGUUGUAGUUUGUUCCUUUUUUAGCCACGCGAUCGCCUUAAGGUAUCGCCUGCGUGACGUAUUAACUCCCCCUCCUCUGCCGCGUAUUGCUCGCUAGUCCGGAAACAGCGUCGCUCGCAUACGCACCCGUCGAAAGUGCCAUCGCGAUCCUUGGAAACGCGUCGGAUCAAUUAAACGGCACAAUUUCAUUCAAUCGGAUCAAUCAAAUGACAGAAGCCAUACGUAACAAUAACGUCGUGAUACGCGUAGCGUAAUUAGCAGUUGUGUCCCUCGUAACAUAGUACACGUUUCCUCGCGUGACGCUCGAUCAGUGAAGUAAGGUUAUUGUCUGAUCGAGGCGGUUUUCAAAGGCGUGAAGUUGCCUCGCUUCGAAUCUUUCCUGCGUCGUCAUGCGCCAUAUUAAGCGAACGCGAGUAUCGUUCGGACACUCGAAAUAUCACAAUGCUGUAUGUACAAUACAAAGCGACGUGCCGUUCACCGUGUUGCGUUAAUUACGUACACGGUCGUGCGUGGUCCGAGAUUUUCGCGUCGUCGUACACCUCGUGUAACCUAAACGCGAACAAGAACGUCGCGAGGGCACCCGGGGUGGCGGAGUGACGGGGUGUUACGUCCGUCGUCGCGUUUCGCGUUUUGUGUAUAUCCGUUCAUAGUGCCGAGAGUCGAGAGUGCCGGACAAAACAGCGUAUCGCGUUGUUUAGCGUGUACACACGGGUGUAAUUAGUUUCCUAACGACGCGCGUCGCGUUCGUGUGAGUAAACACACCGAGAAGAAGGGGGAGGAGUAGCUAUCGGAUGACAAAGAAGCGAAGGACGACAUUCAAUGACAAUCCAACUUUACAGCUGUGGUCUGCAUAAUCGGACGACAUUCAAUGACAAUCCAACAUUACAGCUGUGGUCUACAUAAUUGGACGACAUUCAAUGACAAUCCGACACUACAUCCAACAUUACAGCUGUGGUCUGCAUAAUCGGUGCCAUCUCGAAGAAAGCUCGAUGCUGUAACAGAUCGAUCGACGACUGAACACUGUAAUCUUUGCGAUAUUGCCCACCGGGCAAACUUGUUUACCAUAUGUUAAAACAUCUACUGUCGACAAGGAAGAUAUUUCAUGAUAAACCUCGAUCGACAACAAAGUAAAUUACACUCCUAAUUGAAUUAUCAACGAAUAUGCAGUUAAAAAAUCAUCAGAAAAUUAAUAAUUUUAAGAAAAAAAUUUUUUUAAUUCUAUGAAUGCUAAUUAGAGACAAUUUUUGAUAUUUUUUUAAUGCGUAUCCUUUUAUCUUUCCUUAAAAUUUUGUAUAUUUUACACGAAAAGAGAAAAGCUGAUGUGGAAACAUAAGAACGAGACAUUGAACGGCAGACAAAAUUAGAAAAAAUUGAUAAAGUAAAAUCGAUAGAACAGAAUGUGAGAGGAAAGAAAUGCCAAGCAGAAAAAUGAUAAAUUGGCAAAUUAAAGAGGGGUUGAACUGUCCAGUCACGAAAGCGGAUGGUCGAUGUUUUGAAAGGACGAAAGACUGGCCAGCGGCUGGACAAUGGGUGCAAAACAGGAUUUAAGGAUACUGAUAGCGCCCUACCGUGAAUCCGAAUUGGAUCCGUAUUAGCCACAGUAGCACAAAGGGUAGCAAAUCCGACCCCAUCCUUGUAUAUCAUCGGCUAUCGGGACUGAGUUAAAGUGCAAUACCGGCCGGUUGCUGUUGUUUAGGAGUUGCCAAAAGAAUGACAAAAUUUCUAUUUUCUUUAUUGUAAAUCUGUUAACCUUGGUACGAUGUAUCAAAAAAAUAAUAUUUUCCUUAAUAUUUAUAAAUUUUUUUAUUUUAACACAAUUGCAAAAAGAUAAAA